UAAUACCAGAAACCUCGAUAU
rnacentral:snRNA from 1 species